GAUGAACGCUGGCGGCGUGCCUAAUACAUGCAAGUCGAGCGAACACACGAUGAGCUUGCUCUUCUGCCGUUAGCGGCUGACGGGUGAGUAACACGUGGAUCACCUUCCUCUAAUACUUGGAUAACUUCGUGAAACCGGAGCUAAUACUGGCUCAUAUAUUCUACCGCUUGGUUCAAUAGUUCAUGACGGCUUUGCUGUCACUUUUAGAUGAAUUCGCGCCGCAUUAGCUAGUUGGUAAGGUAACGGCUUACCAAGGCAACGAUGCGUAGCUGACCUGAGAGGGUGAUCGGCCACACUGGAACUGAGACACGGUCCAGACUCCUACGGGAGGCAGCAGUAGGGAAUAUUGCGCAAUGGGCGAAAGCCUGACGGAGCAACGCCGCGUGAGUGAUGAAGGUCUUCGGAUCGUAAAACUCUGUUAUUAGGGAAGAACAAAUGUGUAAGAAAAUAUGCACGUCUUGACGGUACCUAAUGAGAAAGCCACGGCUAACUACGUG
rnacentral:rRNA from 1 species